GACGAACGCUGGCGGCGUGCUUAACACAUGCAAGUCGAACGGUAAGGCCCUUCGGGGUACACGAGUGGCGAACGGGUGAGUAACACGUGGGGGAUCUGCCCUGCACUUCGGGAUAAGCCUGGGAAACUGGGUCUAAUACCGGAUAGGACCACUGCCUGCAUGGGUGGUGGUGGAAAGCUUUUGCGGUGUGGGAUGGGCCCGCGGCCUAUCAGCUUGUUGGUGGGGUGAUGGCCUACCAAGGCGACGACGGGUAGCCGGCCUGAGAGGGUGACCGGCCACACUGGGACUGAGAUAUGGCCCAGACUCCUACGGGAGGCAGCAGUGGGGAAUAUUGCACAAUGGGCGCAAGCCUGAUGCAGCGACGCCGCGUGAGGGAUGACGGCCUUCGGGUUGUAAACCUCUUUCAGCACCGACGAAGCGCAAGUGACGGUAGGUGCAGAAGAAGGACCGGCCAACUACGUGCCAGCAGCCGCAGUAA
rnacentral:rRNA from 1 species